GACGAACGCUGGCGGCGUGCCUAAUACAUGCAAGUAGAACGCUGAAGGAGGAGCUUGCUUCUCUGGACGAGUUGCGAACGGGUGAGUAACGCGUAGGUAACCUGCCUGGUAGCGGGGGAUAACUAUUGGAAACGAUAGCUAAUACCGCAUAAGAGUAGAUGUUGCAUGACAUUUGCUUAAAAGGUGCAAUUGCAUCACUACCAGAUGGACCUGCGUUGUAUUAGCUAGUUGGUGGGGUAACGGCUCACCAAGGCGACGAUACAUAGUCGACCUGCGAGGGGGGUCCGCCAACCUGGGACUGGGACACGGCCCAAGCUCCUACGGGAGGCAGCAGUAGGGGAACUUCCGGAAAGGACGGAAGUCUGGACGGGCAACGCCGGGGGGGUGGAGGAGGGUUUCGGAUCGUAAAGCUCUGUUGUAAGGGGAGAAAGAGUGUGAGAGUGGAAAGUGCACACUGUGACGGUAUCUUAUCAGAAAGGGACGGCUAACUACGUG
rnacentral:rRNA from 1 species